rnacentral:rRNA from 1 species
GACGAACGCUGGCGGCGUGCUUAACACAUGCAAGUCGAGCGGAGCGGCGAACGGGUGAGUAACGCGUGAGUAACUGCCCCCCUCUCUGUGAUAACAGUUGGAAACGGCUGCUAAUACCUGAUAUUGGGGGAUGACUCGCGUCCUAUCAGCUUGUUGGUGGGGUAGUGGCCUACCGAGGCGACGACGGGUAGCCGGCCUGAGAGGGCGACCGGCCACAAGAGGCUAAGAGACGGCGCAAAGGGCUACGGGGGGCAGCGGGGGGGAAUAUUGCACAAUCGGGGAGACUCUGAUGCAGAGACGCCGGGUGCGGAAUGUCGGCCUUCGGGGUGGAAACCGCUUUCAGCCAUGACGCGGUAGUGGCAGAAGAAGCACCGGCUAACUACGUGCCAGCAGCCGCGGUAAUUC